AUUAGGGUUCAUAUCUCCCCUGAUUCUUCGAUUAUUAUCACAGAUAAGUCAUAUAAUAUCGAUGCAUGCACUUAUUCUUUCCUUCUUCUUCGUGUAUUAUGAGUUUCUCACAACUUGUACUCUAUAUAUAGGGUCCCCUUUCUGUGUUGGGAGCAGUAUCCUAACAUCGAGCUACAUGCAGUCUCCUAGCAUCGACCACUACUAAGAAAAAACAGAGAGUAAGUUGUUUAGGUUUUUGAUUCGUUUUUUUCAUUGAGUCUGUAGGUUUUCUGCUGAAAUAAAGGGUUAAAACUAUUGUCCUUGACUCUUUGUGUUCGUGCAUGUGUAUUGUGUAGGUUUUGGAGCUGUCAAUCUGUGGACUGUGGCCAUCAUCAUCCAUCAAGUUUUGGUGCGAGUACUGUAGGGUUAGAACAAGGUAAGCUGAUUAGGGUUUCUGAUUAUCCAUAUAUGCAUUUCUGUUCUUUUCCCAGAAGCAAUUAACGUUUCUGUUUCUCGUUCUUGUUUAGGGUUUCUGUUGUUAAGGAGCUUUUGGGAUCAUCAAGCUUCUGUCACUAUAAUCAUCAAGAUUCUACUCAACAUUGGAUAAGGUAACCAUCUGAACACAGUGUAUUGUUGGUGUUGUUUGGAAAUUGGAAUUGAUUAGCUUAAUAGGUUAUAGUAACUUUAUUUAGUUUUGAAACUGUAUUGUUUGUGUGUAUGGAACAACUUGGCUGAUUGGUUACUAUAUAGAGUUGAUGUGCUGAACUGAUUAGUUACUUUGUAUUGCAUUGAGUUGUUGUAAGCUUGUUUGUUGAUGGAAAUGCACUGAUUAAUUUUUGAAUGUUGCUUAGUGACAGUGAACUUUUGAAUGUUGCUUACUAAUUUUCUGGAAUUUAAAGAAUUCAUGUUCAGAUUCAGAAUGAUGUAUGGAUUUUAAGUUAU
rnacentral:lncRNA from 1 species